UACGUAGGGUGCGAGCGUUAAUCGGAAUUACUGGGCGUAAAGCGUGCGCAGGCGGCUUUGCAAGACAGAUGUGAAAUCCCCGGGCUCAACCUCGGAACUGCGUUGGAAACUACGAGGCUGGAGUACGGCAGAGGGGGGUGGAAUUCCACGUGUAGCAGUGAAAUGCGUAGAUAUGUGGAGGAACACCGAUGGCGAAGGCAGCCCCCUGGGCUAGUACUGACGCUCAUGCACGAAAGCGUGGGGAGCAAACAGG
rnacentral:rRNA from 1 species